GUCUUCGUGGUGCAGUGGUCAGCAUGCUCAACGCUUAACCGAGAGGUCCGUGAUUCGAUUCCUGGCGAAGACA
rnacentral:tRNA from 1 species